rnacentral:rRNA from 1 species
UACGAAGGGGGCUAGCGUUACUCGGAAUUACUGGGCGUAAAGGGCGCGUAGGCGGCGUUCCAAGUUAGGCGUGAAAGUCCUGGGCUCAACCUGGGAACUGCGCUUAAGACUGGAAUGCUAGAGGAUGGAAGAGGGUUGUGGAAUUCCCAGUGUAGAGGUGAAAUUCGUAGAUAUUGGGAAGAACACCGGUGGCGAAGGCGGCAACCUGGUCCAUUUCUGGACGCUGAGGCGCGAUAGCGUGGGGAGCAAACAGG